CUGAGCGGCGGACGGGUGAGUAACGCGUGGGUAACCUGCCUCAUACAGGGGGAUAACAGUUAGAAAUGGCUGCUAAUACCGCAUAAGACCACAGUACUGCAUGGUACAGGGGUAAAAACUCCGGUGGUAUGAGAUGGACCCGCGUCUGAUUAGGUAGUUGGUGGGGUAACGGCCUACCAAGCCGACGAUCAGUAGCCGACCUGAGAGGGUGACCGGCCACAUUGGGACUGAGACACGGCCCAA
rnacentral:rRNA from 1 species